AUUGAACGCUGGCGGCAGGCCUAACACAUGCAAGUCGAGCGGAGCGGCGGACGGGUGAGUAAUGUGUGGGAAACUGCCAGUUGGAGGGGGAUAACAACUGGAAACGCUAGCUCAGACAGCAUCCCCUUUGAUGUGCUCCGAGGGGAGUAGCUCGUGGGGGGGGUAACGGCCCACCAAGCCGACCAUCCCUAGCUGGUCUGAGAGGAUGGUCAGUCACACUGGAACUGAGACACGGUCCAGACUCCUACGGGAGGCAGCAGUGGGGAAUAUUGGACAAUGGGCGAAAGCCUGAUCCAGCCAUGCCGCGUGUGUGAAGAAGGUCUUCGGAUUGUAAAGCACUUUAAGUUGGGAGGCGUUACCAACAGAAUAAGCACCGGCUAACUUCGUGCCAGCCGCCGCGGUAAUAC
rnacentral:rRNA from 1 species